CGAGGAAUCUUGGGCAAUGGGCGAAAGCCUGACCCAGCGACGCCGCGUGAGGGAUGAAGGCCUUCGGGUCGUAAACCUCUUUUGUGGGGGAAGAAAUUCUGACGGUACCCCACGAAUAAGCCACGGCUAACUACGUGCCAGCAGCCGCGGUAAUACGUAGGUGGCGAGCGUUGUCCGGAUUUACUGGGCGUAAAGGGCUUGUAGGCGGUCCGUUAAGUCUGAUGUGAAAUCUCCCGGCUCAACUGGGAG
rnacentral:rRNA from 1 species